GCGAAGGUCACACUGGGAGCCGUGAGUUAACAUUGUUUUUCUAGCUUAAACCUGCGCGUCGCAGUCCCUUCUCCGGACAGACACUGAAAAUGAGCAGUUUCGAGGCAGGGGGAACUACCCCUCCCUCCCCAUCACCAGCCCCGCAGCCCGGCGUUCCCUGAACGGGGCUCGGCUCCUUCCUCGCCCCGCCCCUCGAAGGAUGGCGCCCAGGCCCCGCCCCCGGAAGCCCCGCCGGAGACUCUGCGCGCGCAGCUUAUUAUGGACCGGGAAGCGGACAGUGCGGACUGGAGCUUGCACUGCCCAGCGUGUUUCUCGUUUGUAGUGUAAAUCUGUGCUGCGCGGUCCCGCUGACUCCACCCUCAGGGUCUUGGGAGUCACUAUGGACCUUAACUCCCAGCAGCUGGCCCUCCGACCCGGUAAAUCCAGACAUCGCCGUUACAGGUCGGGUCAACCUCUAAAGACUCAACGUUGUCUGAGGAAGAAGCCCUGAAGAGGAGGAAGAGGAAAGAAAAGGAGUCAGAAAUGGCUCUUUCUCAGGGCCUGUCAUCUCCACUUAGAUCCUAUCUCCCCAUGACUCAGUGACCUGGAACUUGUGAGGAGUCCCCACUGGGCAGGGAUUCACAUCCAUGGAUUGGAGACGUGGUGUCAGUGCUACUGGGCAGCAAGGAUUUCUUAGGGCGCCAUCAGGAUGCACUGUCUGCUCUCUGUAAACCGGGAUAAAGAAGCUGCACAUGGAAGUGAUGGGAUUAAUAUGCACAAUACCUGGCACCGUUGACCUUCAAGGAUGUGGCCGUAGGAUUCACUCAGGAGUGGGAACGCCUGGACCCUGCUCAGAGGGCCUUGUAUAGGGACGUGAUGGAGGAGACCUCCAGGAACCUGCUCUCUGUGGGGGAAAAGACAAGAGUCCAGAAAAGAUCAUUUCCCAUUCCUGGCCGUAUGGAAUAGGGACCUGAGAACAUCUGCUCAGCAAAACUGCACAUUUGCUGUGGACCAAAGACCACUGGGUACCUCCUUUUUCUUCAAUAAAUGGCAUGUAUUAUUUGUUCCUGAAGAUAUGUACAAGAAUGUUCUUUGCGGGACCUAAAAGCAAAACCUGGAGAAUGAAUGAAUUCACUCUGUGUGAACACAUGUGGACGCAAUAAAACCCUCUCAAGGGUACAGCAGUGGAGGAUGAUCAUGGUUGCUGGAUGAUGAUCUCUUGGCAGGGGUGACAGGCUGACUGGUGGAAACAAAGCUAGCAGGAGGCUUUUGCCAAGGUUUAACCUCUGUGGAUGUGAUUAUAUUUGGUAAGAAUAACUUUUAAACUACUUACACAUUUUUAAAUCAGAAUAUCAAUUUUAGCAUGAAGUUUUUUAGUGCAAACAGCUUUGUCAUAUAAAAGUAACAGAUCUCUUUUGCAGGAAUUUUUUAAAGUAUUUGAAAUCAUAUCUUUGGAUCUUUUAACAUUCCAAUCCCAAACAUAAAACAGACAUCAGAUGAGAAGUGCUCUUACUGUAUGUGUAUCACUAAAGAUAUAUCACUAAAGAUAUACUUACUCUUAUCAAUAGAAAUUAAUAUGCACUUAACAAAAAGUGAUGCAUUUUGACUUCUGGAACACCAACAGAAAAUAGUAACCUUAAGGGGCAUUACUAAACAACCUAGAGGGGAAAGAAUGACUUGUAUGGACAAGUGUUGUUCACAGCAGGGUUUAACCAUAGAAACAGUUCUGGCAGUGCCCAGCUGAUCCAUGGCAGAGUUCUAUGUGCAGAGAUGUGGUCGACAACCUAAGCAGCCAAUUAACAGCCUGAAGAACAGGACGAUAAUAGGAUGUAUAUCAACAAGGACCAGGUGACUUUUGAUGAAAUUUAGUUGAAAGAGAGGACAGGGAACAAAAGAGACCUCAUUGAAAUAUGUAAUUCAAGGAAUGUAAGAAAAUUUCUGAGAAACAUCCUUAGAAGCAGUAAUAAUGAGGAAAUCAUGGAGUAUAAAAAAAUUACCUACAUUUCCUUAAAUAAAAUGAGCUAUUUAAAUAUCAGCAUACCAAGAUGUGCAUGAAGAAUCUACACAGGGAGAAUAAUUAUUAGAAUAAAUUAAUGUUGGGGAAGCUAGUAAAGUAGUCUUGUUCAGGUUUCAGAGGCAGCACUAGGCCUCUCUGACCGGGCAGUGACCCUAAAAGCUGGCUACGUGCCAAGCUGCUGAGCUCCCUGCAGGCAGCACACCUUGUAAAUCAUUAGAUAAGAUAGGGCGUAAGUCUGGGGCCUUCUUGCACCCUGAGGGCCUGGCCAGCCCCCAGGGAUCAGAGAACACUCCAAGACUUAUGACUUAAAACCAAGGCAUUUAUGACAAUAACCAGAGCUGCAAAUUUGCACGCAGGCUGACUGUCGUCUGGGCCUUCCCAGCUGGGAUUCCAGAUUGCUGCUGAAGGGACUUCCCAGUGCUGCUUGGAUCUGGAUGUAGGUGCUUCCCCAAUUCCAUGAUGUAAUAAACCUGUCUUUACUAUACUUUCUUAGUUAUAUUAUUCUUAAUUAGUAUACUGUAAUCUUUUAAUUCAAUGAACUCUCUGAAUUCUU